rnacentral:SRP_RNA from 1 species
GCCAGGCACAGUAGCGCAUGCCUGUAGUCCCAGCUACUCAGGAGGCUGAGGUGGGAGGUUCGCUUGGGCCCAGGAGUUCUGGGCUGUAGUGCACUAUGCCGAUUGGGUGUCUGCACUAAGUUUGGCAUCAAUAUGGUGACCUCCCGGGAGCGGGGGACCACCAGGUUGCCUAAGGACAGGUGAACUGGCCCUGGUCGGAAACGGAGCAAGUCAAAACUCCUGUGCUGAUCAGUAGUGGGAUCACACCUGUGAACAGCCACUGUACUCCAGCCUGGGCAACCUAGCGAGACCCCCAUCUCU